rnacentral:rRNA from 1 species
GACGGAGGGUGCUAGCGUUGUUCGGAAUCACUGGGCGUAAAGGGCGCGUAGGCGGUCUUGCAAGUCGGUUGGUGAAAGCCCGGGGCUCAACCCCGGAGGUGCGGCCGAUACUGCAGGGCUGGAGGCCGGAAGAGGAGGGUGGAAUACCCAGUGUAGAGGUGAAAUUCGUAGAUAUUGGGUGGAACACCGGUGGCGAAAGCGGCUCUCUGGUCCUGACCUGACGCUGAGGCGCGAAAGCGUGGGGAGCAAACAGG